rnacentral:rRNA from 1 species
AAUCAACGCUGGCGGCGUGCCUCAGACAUGCAAGUCGAACGCGAAAGUUCCCUUCGGGGAGCGAGUAGAGUGGCGCACGGGUGAGCAACACGUAGGUAAUCUACCCUCGAGUGGGGAAUAACUCAGGGAAACUUGAGCUAAUACCGCAUAAUGCAGCGGCACCACAUGGUGACAGUUGUUAAAGCAUUUAUGCGCUUGGGGAGGAGCCUGCGGCAGAUUAGCUAGUUGGUAAGGUAAUGGCUUACCAAGGCAACGAUCUGUAACCGGCCUGAGAGGGCGGACGGUCACACUGACACUGAAUAACGGGUCAGACUCCUACGGGAGGCAGCAGUCGGGAAUUUUGGGCAAUGGGCGAAAG